rnacentral:rRNA from 1 species
UAGGUGGGAGGCUUUGAAGUGUGGACGCCAGUCUGCAUGGAGCCGACCUUGAAAUACCACCCUUUAAUGUUUGAUGUUCUAACGUUGGCCCGUUAUCCGGGUUGCGGACAGUGUCUGGUGGGUAGUUUGACUGGGGCGGUCUCCUCCUAAAGAGUAACGGAGGAGCACGAAGGUUGGCUAAUCCUGGUCGGACAUCAGGAGGUUAGUGCAAUGGCAUAAGCCAGCUUGACUGCGAGCGUGACGGCGCGAGCAGGUGCGAAAGCAGGUCAUAGUGAUCCGGUGGUUCUGAAUGGAAGGGCCAUCGCUCAACGGAUAAAAGGUACUCCGGGGAUAACAGGCUGAUACCGCCCAAGAGUUCAUAUCGACGGCGGUGUUUGGCACCUCGAUGUCGGCUCAUCACAUCCUGGGGCUGAAGUAGGUCCCAAGGGUAUGGCUGUUCGCCAUUUAAAGUGGUACGCGAGCUGGGUUUAGAACGUCGUGAGACAGUUCGGUCCCUAUCUGCCGUGGGCGCUGGAGAACUGAGGGGGGCUGCUCCUAGUACGAGAGGACCGGAGUGGACGCAUCACUGGUGUUCGGGUUGUCAUGCCAAUGGCACUGCCCGGUAGCUAAAUGCGGAAGAGAUAAGUGCUGAAAGCAUCUAAGCACGAAACUUGCCCCGAGAUGAGUUCUCCCUGACUCCCUGAGAGUCCUGAAGGAACGUUGAAGACGACGACGUUGAUAGGCCGGGUGUGUAAGCGCAGCGAUGCGUUGAGCUAACCGGUACUAAUGAACCGUGAGG